rnacentral:rRNA from 1 species
UACGGAGGGUGCAAGCGUUAUCCGGAUUCACUGGGUUUAAAGGGUGCGUAGGUGGGUUGGUAAGUCAGUGGUGAAAUCCCCGAGCUUAACUUGGGAACUGCCAUUGAUACUAUCAGUCUUGAAUACGGUGGAGGUCGACGGAAUAUGUCAUGUAGCGGUGAAAUGCUUAGAUAUGACAUAGAACACCAAUUGCGAAGGCAGCUCGCUACACAUAUAUUGACUCUGAGGCACGAAAGCGUGGGGAUCAAACAGG